AAAUUAUCAAUAAUGAAUUUCCCAUUUGAACUUCAAUGACAAAUCUAUCCCUCCUGCAAGAAUCUAAGCUCCUGGAAACUCUAUCUAAAACCAUAAAAUUCACUAGACGCACAAUCUUGAACUCAGCUCCACAAUCUCGCGAGUUACUACUAGAUCUAAACACCAACAAUAACGCUACUAUAGAGAAAAUAAAGAAAAAUUUAACAAAAUUAAAGCUUAAUUCUCUAAAUAAAGCUCCUAAAAUCUCCCGAAAACAACCAAACUCAACACGAAGAGAAAAAAAUCCACCAUAAACUCACCGCUACUGUCCAUGGCCUGAAUGUCCAUCGAAGCUUCUCCAAACCUUAAAAAACUCAAUGACCUCUGAAAUUGACCGCUUGCUUAAAAAAAAAAAAAGGAACUACUAGCACCUCGCAAUAGUGAAAGAAUGAAAUAUUUGCUAAAAUUCUUCGAAUUUCAAGCCUGAACAAAUACUAAAUGGUCCAAGUAAGCAAAUUCGAAAUUGAGAAAGGUCUUUCAGAAAGACUCGAACUUUGAGCUCCCUGCAGCAUUCAAAACCCAUAAAUUCACAGCCAAUUCUUUGUUGCCCAAGCGAAAAUUCAAUCUUCAACGCUCCAAAAGACGGACAACAGGUGCUUCAAAACUGCAAUUUUGAGCCCUCAUAACGAUUUUGAGAAGGUACGUUGAGUACUUCAAAUUUGGAGUAGUAAUCUUUUUGAGAGAUAUAGGGAUUAGUUUUACGAGAAAUUUGAGGUUUAAAAGAGAAAUUUGAGUGAGAAUUCAGAAACAGAUAUUUGAUUGAGCGAGGAGAAAACGAGCUUGGGUUGAACGAGAGAGGGAAGCCGGACUUGAAAUGGUUAUUGUCG
rnacentral:misc_RNA from 1 species